GAGUUUGAUCUUGGCUCAGAUUGAACGCUGGCGGCAUGCCUUACACAUGCAAGUCGAACGGCAGCAUGAUCUAGCUUGCUAGAUUGAUGGCGGAGUGGCGAACGGGUGAGUAAUACAUCGGAACGUGCCCUGUAGUGGGGAUAACUAGUCGAAAGAUUAGCUAAUACCGCAUACGACCUGAGGGUGAAAGUGGGGGACCGCAAGGCCUCAUGCUAUAGGAGCGGCCGAUGUCUGAUUAGCUAGUUGGUGGGUAAAGGCCCACCAAGGCGACGAGUCAGUAGCUGGUCUGAGAGGACGAUCAGCCACACUGGGACUGAGACACGGCCCAGACUCCUACGGGAGGCAGCAGUGGGGAAUUUGGAC
rnacentral:rRNA from 1 species